AGAAUACACACACUGGGGGAGGGAGGGGGAAGCAGUAGGUAAAAACUACUAUUGAGCAUGCUUAAUUUUUAUUCCUAUCAUAGAAAUCAGAUGUAAGGCUAUCAGUAGUUACUUUUCUACCCAAGUAUUUUCAAAUCUACUUCUUUCAGAAUAUGGUUUCAAAUUUUGAUAACUCUGUCAUCAAAAACCUUGCUGAGUGAUUUUUAAAGUUCAGUUCUCAUCUCAAAACUUAGUAUAUUCCAACCCAUAAUGCCUUGGAGAAAAACACUGGAAAUACAGAAUCUAGAUUUGUACAGAAUUCCCCACCUGCUAUUUGUUUCUCUAUUCCAAAAUGGAAUAUGAGGUAUUCAACUUGUCGCUGAUCCCCUGCAUGAUGGUGCCUGCCAUCCUCCCCACGACACCACAUACACUCAGCCAUAGGCAAGCCAGAAGACAGAGAAGCUGACGACAGGACUCGACAAUGACUUUGAUGUUGUUUGAUGAGUUCAGACCCUCAGAUCCUGGGACCAAGGCUGUAAGUGACGGAGAACAAUUCACCCAAACGUGUCAGAUCAUCCAUCACUCAUAAGAGUCCAAGUCUUGGGAGAAUUUUCUUUUACCCUUAAGGUUGGGCCCCAUGAAGGCAAUGCCUGUGUCUGUUGUAAAACUACAAUAACCUCUAUCUUAGUAGAAACUAACAAUAGUCCUUCCAUAAAUGAAAUUACAGAAAGAAGAGAGGACUAAACAAUCUCCUUUUUUGAAACUUCUCUCUACAGUCAACCACUGUCUCUCCAGGGGCCAGACACAGAAGAUUUGAGACUGGAUGAUAAGAGCCAAGCCAUUGGUGUUUAGAGCCAGUUUCUAGACAGUGGUUCUAUUUCUGAGGGCUUCGGUGAAUCAGGUAACAUCUUUAAGAAAGGAGUUCAUGACUUUUUGCUUCACUUUAUAUUAACUAAUCCGUUCUAGGCAGUGAACAUUUGUUUAUUAUAAAAUUUAAGUCCCAUGUGCCACUCUUCACCAGCCAGGACAUGCACAAAUAUCUGAGGAAAAAGAAUUCAUCUCCAUGGAUGGUGUCAGGCUCUGGGCACGGGUAGGCAGUUGGGCUAAGUUGUGGUCAUGAUACUAAUAAAGAUUUCUGGGGCUUUAUAUCUGUAAAUAUUUUAAAGUCACACCAAUCGUGCCAUUUGUUGCCUGCCACGUAGGCCAAAGUUAGCGAUGGCAGUUGUACCAAGUGUGUGCAUGACAGGGGCGGGGCCAGGUGCUGUGAGAAUGUGGCAAUGUGACACUGAAGGUUUGAAGAAGUAAUUACUAGAAUAUGUGGACAACACACCCUCCUGGUAAAGCCACUUGCGGUUGAGGGACAAACAAGCGAACAGGAAAGCACCCCUCAGAAACUAAAACUUACCAGAGAGGCAAACUAGACUGUGAACUCGAAGGGGAGCUCUGUUGAUAUUUUGCUAAGUGUGAUGUCCAGUGUUGACAAUUAUAUGAAAGACUGAGUAUUGCAGUGCAGAAAUUUCGAGACCGUUUAUUUCAUCAGGAACUCCUGGGAGCAGAGGUUGGCAAACUUUUUCUGCGAGCGACCAGACAGUAAAUAUUUUGGGUCUG